GAUGAACGCUGGCGGCGUGCCUAAUACAUGCAAGUCGAGCGAACAGACGAGGAGCUUGCUCCUCUGACGUUAGCGGCGGACGGGUGAGUAACACGUGGAUAACCUACCUAUAAGACUGGGAUAACUUCGGGAAACCGGAGCUAAUACCGGAUAAUAUAUUGAACCGCAUGGUUCAAUAGUGAAAGACGGUUUUGCUGUCACUAAUAGAUGAAUCCGCGCCGCAUUAGCUAGUGGGUAAGGUAACGGCUUACCAAGGCAACGAUGCGUAGCCGACCUGAGAGGGUGAUCGGCCACCCUGGAACUGAGACACGGCCCAGACUCCGACGGGAGGCAGCGGUAGGGAAUCUUCCGCGAUGGGCGAAAGCCUGACGGUGCAACGCCGCGUGAGUGAUGAAGGUCUUCGGAUCGUAAAACUCUGUUAUUAGGGAAGAACAAAUGUGUAAGUACCUAUGCACGUCUUGACGGUACCUAAUCAGAAAGCCACGGCUAACUACGUG
rnacentral:rRNA from 1 species